GAUGAACGCUGGCGGCGUGCCUAAUACAUGCAAGUCGAGCGAACAGAUGAGGAGCUUGCUCCUCUGACGUUAGCGGCGGGCGGGUGAGUAACACGUGGAUAACCUACCUAUAAGUCUGGGAUAACUUCGGGAAACCGGAGCUAAUACCGGAUAAUAUAUUGAACCGCAUGGUUCAAUAGUGAAAGACGGUUUUGCUGUCACUUAUAGAUGGAUCCGCGCCGCAUUAGCUAGUUGGUAAGGUAACGGCUUACCAAGGCAACGAUGCGUAGCCGACCUGAGAGGGUGAUCGGCCACACUGGAACUGAGACACGGUCCAGACUCCUACGGGAGGCAGCAGUAGGGAAUCUUCCGCAAUGGGCGAAAGCCUGACGGAGCAACGCCGCGUGAGUGAUGAAGGUCUUCGGAUCGUAAAACUCUGUUAUUAGGGAAGAACAAAUGUGUAAGUAACUAUGCACGUCUUGACGGUACCUAAUCAGAAAGCCACGGCUAACUACGUG
rnacentral:rRNA from 1 species